UUCGCAAUGCCCGAAAGGGUGACGAAGCGACGCCGCGUGGGUGAGGAAGACCUUCGGGUUGUAAAGCCCUGUCAGGAGUUAAGAAAUAUAAGUGCGCUAAUAUCGCAUUUAUUUGACGAAGGCUCCAAAGGAAGCCACGGCUAACUCUGUGCCAGCAGCCGCGGUAAUACAGAGGUGGCAAGCGUUGUUCGGAAUUAUUGGGCGUAAAGAGCACGUAGGUGGGUUUGUAAGUCAGAUGUGAAAGCCUUCUGUUCAACGGAAGAAUUGCAUCUGAAACUACAAGUCUUGAGUGUAGGAGGGGAGAAUGGAACUUCUGGUGGAGCGGUGAAAUGCGUAGAUAUCAGAAGGAACGCCGGCGGCGAAAGCGAUUCUCUGGCCUAUUACUGACACUCAGUGUGCGAAAGCUAGGGGAGCAAACGGGAUUAGAUACCCCGGUAGUCCUAGCUGUAAACGAUGGGCACUAAGUAGAGGGGUUUU
rnacentral:rRNA from 1 species